CCUACGGGGGGCAGCAGGCGCGAAACCUUCGCAAUGCGCAAAUGCGUGACGAGGGGAACUCGAGUGCUAUCAUCCUUUAGGGUGGUAGCUUUUCUCGAUCCUAAAAAGAUCGGGGAAUAAGGGCUGGGUAAGACGGGUGCCAGCCGCCGCGGUAAUACCCGCAGCUCAAGUGGUGGCCACUAUUAUUGAGCCUAAAACGUCCGUAGCCGGUUUUGUAAAUCUCUGGGUAAAUCCUGCCGCUUAACGGUAGGAAUUCUGGAGAGACUGCAAAACUAGGGAUCGGGUGAGGCGAGAGGUACUCCUGGGGUAGGGGUAAAAUCCUGUAAUCCUGGGGGGACGACCGGUGGCGAAAGCGUCUCAGCUAGAACGACUCCGACGGUGAGGGACGAAGGCUAGGGGAGCAAACCGGAUUAGAUACCCGGGUAGUCCUAGCUGUAAACGCUGCCCACUUGGUGUUGCCCUUUCGUCGGGAAGGGGCAGUGCCGGAGCGAAGGUGUUAAGUGGGCCGCUUGGGGAGUAUGGUCGCAAGGCUGAAACUUAAAGGAAUUGGCGGGAGAGCACCGCAACGGGAGGAGCGUGCGGUUUAAUUGGAUUCAACGCCGGAAAACUCACCAGGAGAGACCAUGGUAUGAGAGUCAACCUGAAGAGCUUACUCGAUCACAUGGAGAGGUGGUGCAUGGCCGUCGUCAGCUCGUACCGUAGAGCGUUCACUUAAGUGUGAUAACGAGCGAGACCCCCAUCCACAUUUGCCUACACUAUCCUCGCGAGAGGAUAUGCACUAUAUGGGGACCGCUAGCGUUAAACUGGAGGAAGGAGAGGUCAACGGCAGGUCAGUAUGCCCCGAAUCCCCUGGGCAACACGCGCGCUACAAAGGACGGAACAAUGGGUUGCAACUUCGAAAGGAGAAGCUAAUCUCGAAAUCCGUUCGUAGUUCAGACUGAGGGCUGUAAUUCGCCCUCACGAAGCUGGAUUCCGUAGUAAUCGCGAAUCAACAGUUCGCGGUGAAUAUGCCCCUGCUCUUUGCACACACCGCCCGUC
rnacentral:rRNA from 1 species